GCCUUUUAACACCACGCUGUACACUGUGUAGAAUAGGUUAUAGAAGAUGAAAGGCAAUGAGCUGUAGUGUGUAAUGUUAUUUGAAAUAUAUUGGUAAAGAAAACUCAUGAUAAGGCAGGAAAAAGGUAAUAGUGAACGUAUUAAUAAUAAAUUUUCCUAUGUAGUUAAUAUCAAAGAGAUAGGCUUGAGUGCAAUCGACGAGAAAUACAAUUUACUAACGGACACUAAGUUAACCCUAAGCGUGAGUUAACUCAUUGAAGUUACCUGAACUGAAAUAACAUCAAGCUGACAGAUCACUGGAUGUGAUA